rnacentral:lncRNA from 1 species
UUUCCCAAUUGAACCAUUCCCCUACUUUCGACCCCCGAUUCCACCUCCUGCUAUUGCAAAUACACAGCCAGUUCCUCCUCCGGGGCCUGGAUCCAGAGGGCACCAUCCCAGAGGUGGAGAUAUGUAUAGACCCCAGAUUACCGAUGCUUAUAUUCGUCCAAAUAUGCCAUUUAGACCUGGUUUUUACUCUGGUCCAGUGGCCUUUGAGGGUUAUUAUGGACCACCAAUGGGUUAUAGCAAUUCCAAUGAGCGGGAAAUUCCUCUCAUGGGCAUGCCUCCUGGUCCCCCAGUUUAUAAUAGAUAUUCAGGCCCAAACACUCCUGAUCCAACUAAUACUCAUGCCAGAAUUGGCAGCCAUGGUGCUAAUGCCAAAGCAUUGCCAGAGGGAGUAGAGUCUGCUCACCCUGAUGAUGCUAAAGGACCAUAUAAAGUUCUUUUAAAGCAUGAUGCAAGAGAGGAAGGAGAGACGUGGGAACAUUCUGCGCCCACUA